AGGUAAGUCAGUGUGUGGCAUGCCAGGCCAGUAGUGUGAUAAUUAAACAGCAGGAGGAGUACAGGCCAAUAAAGACAAAAUAUUCUGCAUAGUACUCAGCAUUGAAAGAAAUCUCUGUGCCCCUUUAUCAUCUGCAGACAUGGCUUAGUUGAAAGGAUGAGUAAGACCAUACAGAGGCCACUGUCCAAACUGGUGAAAGACAGACCUGACAAAUGGGACAAACAUUUGGACGCCGUCAUGUUUGGCUUGAGGACACACAGUCAAAUGACAACAAAGUUUACACCUUCUCUUCAUCUCUUUAUUGUCUGGAAGAGAGGCAAGGUACCCCUCUGGAAUCCCUGCUGAAUACAGGGUUUACUCCCCAUGUGUCCACCUGUCCCUCACUAGUCCUGGGGUUCAUCCCAAUACCUGAUUUCGCAUCCAUGUUUCCCUCACUUGCGUCUCUUCCUUGCGUCUUGGCUCUGCCCUCAUAAGGCACAG